UACGUAGGGUGCGAGCGUUAAUCGGAAUUACUGGGCGUAAAGGGUGCGCAGGCGGUCAUAUAAGACAGAUGUGAAAUCCCCGGGCUCAACCUGGGAACUGCGUUUGUGACUGUAUGACUAGAGUACGGUAGAGAGGGGUGGAAUUCCUGGUGUAGCAGUGAAAUGCGUAGAUAUCAGGAGGAACAUCGAUGGCGAAGGCAGCCCCUUGGACCUGUACUGACGCUCAUGCACGAAAGCGUGGGGAGCAAACAGG
rnacentral:rRNA from 1 species